GUGAGGAAUAUUGGUCAAUGGGCGAGAGCCUGAACCAGCCAAGUCGCGUGAAGGAAGAAGGAUCUAUGGUACGUAAACUUCUUUUGCAGGGGAAUAAAGUGCAGGACGUGUUCUGUUUUGUAUGUACCCUGAGAAUAAGGAUCGGCUAACUCCGUGCCAGCAGCCGCGGUAAUACGGAGGAUCCGAGCGUUAUCCGGAUUUAUUGGGUUUAAAGGGUGCGUAGGUGGUUUGAUAAGUCAGCGGUGAAAGUUUGCAGCUUAACUGUAAAAAUGCCGUUGAAACUGUCGGACUUGAGUGUAAAUGAGGUAGGCGGAAUGCGUGGUGUAGCGGUGAAAUGCAUAGAUAUCACGCAGAACUCCGAUUGCGAAGGCAGCUUACUAAGCUACAACUGACACUGAAGCACGAAAGCGUGGGGAUCAAACAGGAUUAGAAACCCUGGUAGUCC
rnacentral:rRNA from 1 species